rnacentral:rRNA from 1 species
CUCAAAGGAAUUGACGGGGCCCGCACAAGCGGAGGAGCAUGUGUUUAAUUCGAUGAUACGCGAGGAACCUUACCUGGGCUUAAAUGUAGGACGACGUUUCGUGAAAGCGGAAUUUCCUUCGGGACGUCUUACAAGGUGCUGCAUGGUUGUCGUCAGCUCGUGCCGUGAGGUGUCGGGUUAAGUCCCAUAACGAGCGCAACCCCUAUCAUUAGUUGCCAUCAGGUCAAGCUGGGAACUCUAAUGAAACUGCCUACGCAAGUAGUGAGGAAGGUGGGGAUGACGUCAAAUCAGCACGGCCCUUAUGUCCAGGGCGACACACGUGCUACAAUGGCCAGUACAGAGGGUUGCUACCUGGUGACAGGAUGCUAAUCUCGAAAGCUGGUCUCAGUUCGGAUUGAAGUCUGCAACUCGACUUCAUGAAGUUGGAUUCGCUAGUAAUCGCGCAUCAGCCAUGGCGCGGUGAAUACGUUCCCGGGCCUUGUACACACCGCCCGUCAAGCCAUGGGAGUUGGGGGUACCUAAAGUCCGUAACCGCAAGGAGCGGCCUAGGGUAAAACCAAUGACUGGGGCUAAGUCGUAACAAGGUAACCGU